rnacentral:rRNA from 1 species
UCAAGCUACAAAGAGCGUAAGGGGAAUGCCUUGGCACCAGGAGCCGACGAAGGACGCAGCGAUCUGCGAAAAGCCACGGGGAGCCGAAAGCAGGCUUUGAUCCGUGGAUAUCCGAAUGGGGAAACCCGCAUGGUUAAUAGCCAUGCGACGUAUACUGAAUAAAUAGGUAUGCGUCGGGAACCGUCUGAACUGAAACAUCUAAGUAGGACGAGGAAAAGAAAUCAACCGAGAUUCCGUAAGUAGUGGCGAGCGAACACGGAAGAGGCCAAACCGAAGGUAGCAAUAUCUUCGGGGUACGGACAGUAAACGGCAUUGCGGUAUCUUAGCAGAAGUGCAUGGGACGGCACACCAUAGAGAGUGAUAGUCUCGUAAGCGAAAAGAGAAGGCAGCCAACUGUAUCCAGAGUACCGCCGGACACGUGAAACCCGGUGGGAACAUGGGGGGACCAUCCUCCAAGCCUAAAUACUCCCUGGUGACCGAUAGAGAACAGUACUGUGAAGGAAAGGUGAAAAGAACCCCGGGAGGGGAGUGAAAAGAACCUGAAACCUUAUGCUUACAAGCACCGAGAGCCCAUCAAAGGGUGAUCGGGUACCUUUUGUAGAAUGGUCCGGCGAGUGAAUGUAACUGGCAAGGUUAAGCACUUCAGGUGUGGAGCCGAAGCGAAAGCAAGUCUUAAUAGGGCGUCAAGUCAGUUGUAUUCGACCCGAAACCGUGUGACCUAGCCAUGAGCAGGCUGAAGUGGAGGUAAAACUCCAUGGAGGGCCGAACCCACUCCCGUUGAAAUGGUAGGGGAUGACUUGUGGCUAGCGGAGAAAUUCCAAUCGAACUCGGAGAUAGCUGGUUCUCUCCGAAAUAGCUUUAGGGCUAGCCUCGAUUUAACAUUACCGGAGGUAAAGCACUGAAUGGGCUAGGGGCCGAGAGGUUACUGAACCCUAUCAAACUAAGAAUGCCGGAUAAUGAUAAUCGGGAGUCAGACAGUGUGAGAUAAGUUUCAUUGUCAAAAGGGAAACAGCCCAGACCCACAGCUAAGGUCCCAAAGUACGGUUAAGUGGAAAAGGAUGUGGGGUUGCACAGACAACCAGGAUGUUGGCUUAGAAGCAGCCACUCAUUAAAAGAGUGCGUAAUAGCUCACUGGUCGAGUGAUUCUGCGCCGAAAAUUUAACGGGGCUAAAUUGUACACCGAAGCUUGGGAUACAUCUAAUGUAUGGUAGGAGAGCGUUGUAUACGGGGUGAAGUCAGAGCGGAAGCGCUGGUGGACUGUAUACAAGUGAGAAUGCCGGAAUGAGUAGCGAGAAUUAUGUGAGAAUCAUAAUGGCCGAAAGACUAAGGUUUUAGAAGGAAGGUUCGUCCGCUUCUAGUCAGCCGGGAGCUAAGGCGAGGCCGAAAGGCGUAGUCGAUGCACAUACGGUGGAGAUUCCGUAGCCGCCAUUAAUUUAAACAGAGGGACACUUUCAAGUGGCAUGACCCGGGCGUUGGUAGACCCGGGCGUAAGGGACCGAAAAUUAGUAGGGAAGCAUGCUUUAAGGAAGGCGAGAAAAGCUCUGUGUAUAGAAGAUGGCGCCCGUACCGCAAACCGACACAGGUAGUCAGGAAGAGAAUUCUAAGGCCAACGGGAGAAGGGUAGUUAAGGAACUCGGCAAAUUGACCCCGUAACUUCGGAAUAAGGGGUGCUCACGAGAGUGAGCCGCAGUGAAUAGGUCCAGGCGACUGUUUAUCAAAAACACAGCUCUCUGCUAAAUCGAAAGAUGACGUAUAGGGGGUGACACCUGCCCGGUGCUGGAAGGUUAAGAGGAAGGGUGCAAGCUCUGAAUUGAAGCCCCAGUAAACGGCGGCCGUAACUAUAACGGUCCUAAGGUAGCGAAAUUCCUUGUCGGGUAAGUUCCGACCCGCACGAAUGGUGUAACGAUCUGGGCACUGUCUCAACUACCCACCCGGCGAAAUUGUAGUACCGGUGAAGAUGCCGGUUACCCGCGGCAAGACGGAAAGACCCCAUGGAGCUUUACUGUAACCUGAUAUUGGGUUUCGGUAUUUUAUGUACAGGAUAGGUGGGAGACUAUGAAACUAAGGCGCCAGCCUUAGCGGAGUCGCCCUUGGGAUACCACUCUUAAAGUACUGAAAUUCUAACCUGCGGCCGUGAAUCCGGUCGGGGGACAUUGUCAGGCGGGCAGUUUGACUGGGGCGGUCGCCUCCAAAAGAGUAACGGAGGCGCUCAAAGGUUCG